AGUUUUAUAGACAUUUCAAGCUGGGGCCUGCAUUUUUUUGUGCAACCCUGGGGUUCAACAAUUUGAAACUGCUUCACACCAAGAGCAGAGAAACUCGCUCUGUGGUUAUCACCUCAGAGAGACACAAUACCCAAAACCUGAGAACAUUCGCCUUGUUUUGUUGGAGUCAACACAUCUGCCAGGUUAUCUGUCUUCAGUCAACAUGGCUCAUAGAAAUCCAUGCUGAAUUAUUUUUUAGGAAGUUCGGUUUUGUUGACGAUGGAGUUAAAUGUUAUUCGUGUUAAAGUGAGUCUUUAAGAAGAUGGCCGGCUGUGUUUCUACAUAGUUUUGACAUCUGUCUUCAUUUCUCAUUUUUCCUCUAAGAUGUUCUGCACAUAUUUGUCAAUUUCUGUGGUCUGACUCAGAGCACAGGAAGUGUGGAGGAGCUUGACCGGAGAAAGAGGCUGAGAACUGCUUCUCUUACCAAGGACCUUCCCCAAGCCAGGCAUCUCCGGAGAUGGUAUGGAGCCUGGGGUAGCUCGGCCAGGCCUUUGAUCACCAGCGAUGCCAUUGCUCUUCCCCGUUUCGCGUCUGCUGUGGCUUGCUGCUGAGGCUGCUUUCAGACCUCUGGAAUCAGAAAAGGAGGUGACUAUAUCAGGUUCAGCAGAGGACACAUCUGGAACCCCUUUCCUGCUGGAGUGGACAGUGGAGGCAGCGCCACAGUGGAUUUUCAUUGGUGUCUCCCCUGGCUGCCUGGUGGCUGCCUGUCAGAGCCAGCGCUUGAGAACGUGGCUGCUAGUGAAAGUGUUUAUGUGUUUAUGUGACCACAGGUAGCAAACAGAUAAGAAACUAUCCGACUGAGGAGCAGCAAGGGUCUGGAGCUACUGCGAUUGGGUGACCUGGGUAGAGACCCUCCUGGAGAUUUCACUCUGACUAGAACUGGAAGGACAAACCCACCGCAGGGACUUCCUGGCCACCAAGUCAUAUUCAACACAUGAGUGAGGCAGACCGGAGUGCU
rnacentral:lncRNA from 1 species